AGUGAACGCUGGCGGUAGGCCUAACACAUGCAAGUCGAACGGCAGCACAGUAAGAGCUUGCUCUUACGGGUGGCGAGUGGCGGACGGGUGAGGAAUACAUCGGAAUCUACUUUUUCGUGGGGGAUAACGUAGGGAAACUUACGCUAAUACCGCAUACGACCUACGGGUGAAAGCAGGGGAUCUUCGGACCUUGCGCGAUUGAAUGAGCCGAUGUCGGAUUAGCUAGUUGGCGGGGUAAAGGCCCACCAAGGCGACGAUCCGUAGCUGGUCUGAGAGGAUGAACAGCCAAGCGGACAGUGAGCCAGGGGUCAGAGCCGGGGGGGGGGAGGAUGGGAGGAAGGUUGCACAAGGGGCCAGAGGCGUGGCCGCGCCGCCGGGGUGGGGGAGAAGGGCCUGGGGGUUGACAAGUCCUUUGGUGGGGAAAGACAAGAAGCGGGUAAUUCCCCGGCUGUUCUGCAGGUACCAAAAGAAUAAGAACCGGCUAACUCCGUGCCAGCAGGCGCGGUAAUAGUGGAAGAGCAUACUUAUGAUC
rnacentral:rRNA from 1 species